GCUAACGUAGCUUAGAUUUAAAGCA
rnacentral:tRNA from 1 species